AGUGAACGCUGGCGGUAGGCCUAACACAUGCAAGUCGAACGGCAGCACAGUAAGAGCUUGCUCUUACGGGUGGCGAGUGGCGGACGGGUGAGGAAUACAUCGGAAUCUACUUUUUCGUGGGGGAUAACGUAGGGAAACUUACGCUAAUACCGCAUACGACCUACGGGUGAAAGCAGGGGAUCUUCGGACCUUGCGCGAUUGAAUGAGCCGAUGUCGGAUUAGCUAGUUGGCGGGGUAAAGGCCCACCAAGGCGACGAUCCGUAGCUGGUCUGAGAGGAUGAUCAGCCACACUGGAACUGAGACACGGUCCAGACUCCUGCGGGAGGCAGCAGUGGGGAAUAUUGGACAAUGGGCGCAAGCCUGAUCCAGCCAUACCGCGUGGGUGAAGAAGGCCUUCGGGUUGUAAAGCCCUUUUGUUGGGAAAGAAAAGCAGCAGGUUAAUACCCCGCUGUUCUGGCGGUACCCAAAGAAUAAGCACCGGCUAACUUCGUG
rnacentral:rRNA from 1 species